UAAUACAUGCAAGUUGAAACGAAGUAAAUUGGGAUAAGUUUUAUUUAAUUAAAUGACUUAAUGGCGAACGGGUGGAGUAAUACAUAAAUAACCUGCCCCGAUUUCUGGAAUAACAGUUGGAAACGAUUGCUAAUGCCGGAUAUGAUAUUUGGAAGCAUUUCCUAAUAUUGAAAGAUGGGAUACAUCGCAACGGGAUGGAUUUAUGGCGCAUUAGUUAGUUGGUGAGGUAACGGCUCACCAAGACGAUGAUGCGUAGCCGGCCUGAGAGGGUGACCGGCCACACUGGGACUGAGACACGGCCCAGACUCCUACGGGAGGCAGCAGUAGGGAAUUUUCGGCAAUGGGGGCAACCCUGACCGAGCGACGCCGCGUGAGUGAAGAAGGCCUUCGGGUUGUAAAGCUCUGUUGUAAGGGAAGAACUGUACGGAUAGGGAAUGAUCUGUACUUGACGGUACCUUACCAGCAAGCCACGGCUAACUACGUGCCAGCAGCCGCGGUAAUACGUAGGUGGCAAGCGUUAUCCGGAAUUAUUGGGCGUAAAGGGAGCGCAGGCGGCUUAUUAAGUCUAAGGUUAAAGUUCGGGGCUCAACCCCGUGAUGCCUUAGAAACUGGUAGGCUAGAGUGCAGGAGAGGUGAGUGGAAUUCCAUGUGCAGCGGUAAAAUGCGUAGAUAUAUGGAGGAACACCAGUGGCGAAGGCGGCUCACUGGCCUGUAACUGACGCUGAGGCUCGAAAGCGUGGGGAGCAAAUAGGAUUAGAUACCCUAGUAGUCCACGCCGUAAACGAUGGAUACUAAGUGUUGGGAUAGAAUCUCAGUGCUGUAGUAACGCAAUAA
rnacentral:rRNA from 1 species